rnacentral:antisense_RNA from 1 species
CUUGAGCGAGCCGAGCCACAGCGGCCGGUCGCCCGGUCUUCCCCUGCCGUAGGCGGCGAGCAGCGCCUGGGCCUC